rnacentral:rRNA from 1 species
UGAGGAAUAUUGGUCAAUGGGCGAGAGCCUGAACCAGCCAAGUAGCGUGCAGGAUGACGGCCCUAUGGGUUGUAAACUGCUUUUAUAAGGGAAUAAAGUGAGCCUCGUGAGGCUUUUUGCAUGUACCUUAUGAAUAAGGACCGGCUAAUUCCGUGCCAGCAGCCGCGGUAAUACGGAAGGUCCGGGCGUUAUCCGGAUUUAUUGGGUUUAAAGGGAGCGUAGGCCGGAGAUUAAGCGUGUUGUGAAAUGUAGACGCUCAACGUCUGCACUGCAGCGCGAACUGGUUUCCUUGAGUACGCACAAAGUGGGCGGAAUUCGUGGUGUAGCGGUGAAAUGCUUAGAUAUCACGAAGAACUCCGAUUGCGAAGGCAGCUCACUGGAGCGCAACUGACGCUGAAGCUCGAAAGUGCGGGUAUCGAACAGGAUUAGAUACCCUGGUAGUCCGCACGGUAAACGAUGGAUGCCCGCUGUUGGUCUGAACAGGUCAGCGGCCAAGCGAAAGCAUUAAGCAUCCCACCUGGGGAGUACGCCGGCAACGGUGAAACUCAAAGGAAUUGACGGGGGCCCGCACAAGCGGAGGAACAUGUGGUUUAAUUCGAUGAUACGCGAGGAACCUUACCCGGGCUUGAAUUGCAGAGGAAGGAUUUGGAGACAAUGACGCCCUUCGGGGCCUCUGUGAAGGUGCUGCAUGGUUGUCGUCAGCUCGUGCCGUGAGGUGUCGGCUUAAGUGCCAUAACGAGCGCAACCCCUCUCCUUAGUUGCCAUCAGGUUAAGCUGGGCACUCUGGGGACACUGCCACCGUAAGGUGUGAGGAAGGUGGGGAUGACGUCAAAUCAGCACGGCCCUUACGUCCGGGGCUACACACGUGUUACAAUGGCAGGUACAGAGAGACGGUCCCUUGCAAAAUGGAUCAAAUCCUUAAAGCCUAUCUCAGUUCGGACUGGGGUCUGCAACCCGACCCCACGAAGCUGGAUUCGCUAGUAAUCGCGCAUCAGCCAUGGCGCGGUGAAUACGUUCCC